GUAGGUGGCAAGCGUUGUCCGGAAUUAUUGGGCGUAAAGCGCGCGCAGGCGGUUCUUUAAGUCUGAUGUGAAAGCCCACGGCUCAACCGUGGAGGGUCAUUGGAAACUGGAGAACUUGAGUACAGAAGAGGAAAGCGGAAUUCCACGUGUAGCGGUGAAAUGCGUAGAGAUGUGGAGGAACACCAGUGGCGAAGGCGGCUUUCUGGUCUGUAACUGACGCUGAGGCGCGAAAGCGUGGGGGAGCAAACAGGAUUAGAUACCCUGGUAGUCCACGCCGUAAACGAUGAGUGCUAAGUGUUAGGGGGUUUCCGCCCCUUAGUGCUGCAGCUAACGCAUUAAGCACUCCGCCCUGGGAGUACGGCCGCGAGGCUG
rnacentral:rRNA from 1 species